rnacentral:rRNA from 1 species
UCAGUCGACUCCUACGGGGAGGCAGCAGUGGGGAAUAUUGCACAAUGGGGGAAACCCUGAUGCAGCCAUGCCGCGUGUGUGAAGAAGGCCUUCGGGUUGUAAAGCACUUUCAGUAGGGAGGAAGGUAGUGUAGUUAACACCUGCACUAUUUGACGUUACCUACAGAAGAAAGCACCGGCUAACUCCGUGCCAGCAGCCGCGGUAAUACGGAGGGUGCGAGCGUUAAUCGGAAUUACUGGGCGUAAAGCGCAUGCAGGCGGCCUGUUAAGUCAGAUGUGAAAGCCCGGGGCUUAACCUCGGAAUUGCAUUUGAAACUGGUAGGCUAGAGUCUUGUAGAGGGGGGUAGGAAUUUCAGGUGUAGCGGUGAAAUGCGUAGAGAUCUGAAGGAAUACCAGUGGCGAAGGCGGCCCCCUGGACAAAGACUGACGCUCAGAUGCGAAAGCGUGGGGAGCAAACAGGAUUAGAUACCCUGGUAG